CGAACAGUGAUUUCAUUCCAAGGGUGGGGGAUCCACAGGGUUUUCAGCUUGCUGGAUGAUCAUAUGCACCAGACGUCCCGUCUACUUCCGCCGGCGCAAAGCGCGCUCUCCAUGCCGAGAGAUGGCAUCUAAUCAAGGGCAGCCCAUCAGCCUUGUCCCCUAGGCUACCUUGCAUAGGUUCCAGGCUCACCUGCAGCCCUGUUCAGGAUAAGCAGAUGGAAGACGGAUGGAUCGAUGGACAGAUGAAAAUACAAGAUAAGUGUAGAAAGACCCUCUGCCACUCAUACUCGUCAGCUGGAUAUUAAGCCCCGUUUUCAAGCGAGGUGCGUCUUUGACAGCGUCCCAAAUGAUGUCAUCGCCAGGGCCGCCUGUCAGCGAGUGUGACGGAGCACUGUGGGGUCACGACCUUUGCUGAGACGCUUGCCACACUCCAGGGCAAUUUCUCGGCAGUUAUCGUCACAAGUGACACCACGGCAACGGAGAGCCAUAAUAAGGGACCAGACCCUAUAACCUUCUGGGUUCCUGAACUCCAAGCGAAGGGUGGAUUUGUGUGUUUACAAUACGGCCAGGGUCGGCCUGCCGAGCGACGGGGCGCAGUAAACAAUCCCAGCUUGCACUGCGGCGCCAGAGGAGGCAGCACCGGCCUCGCUCAGCCUGCCAACGGAAGCGGCGCGGAGCAGCUGACCCGUUCGGAUAAGCCUCUGGUUCUGUCUGAGAUAACAGAGGGACAGGGACUCAGAUCAAGGCGGCUAUCAUUGUCCCUUCCGGGCCAGUGGUGCAUGACGGGACGAGCUCAGUGCCCCCCACAGAGCCCGGUGACAGUGACAGCGACGGUGCUUUGAUAAUAAGGACACACCCCCUCUGACCGUCUGCCUGGGCGCCGCUUCAAACACGUCACCUGAGCCGCAACAAUAUCAAUCGCAGCUUUUAGUCAAACCGCAUUCCUUCCUGCGCAGAGCUACCGCCAUAAAAACGUCAGAUAAAACGUCAGAUUAAAACAGGCUGAUUGCUGCACGUCUGACAGUCUGGACGUUUUGCAGAUUGGAAUGACGCUGCCCGACUCACGUGCACCUUUUACCUGUAAAAACUCCUUUAAUAUGUUUUUUUUUUUCACUUAACCCGCAAUUACAAACCCCCGACAUCACUCAAUGUCACUCCCCAGUGGUGUUUUACCUUUUGCGAUUAUUUCAAAUUUAACGUUUUAAAAAGGCCAGUCGGACACCUGCUCCCGUCUGUCUAGAUGAGACCUGUUUCAUUUCUGAAUAUGUCCAGUAACCACGCAUUUGUGUAGUAGAGUUUAUUUUAGUUUUCACUUACUGCCUAGGAUCUGUUAGCACCAGCAAAAUAUGGACAUGAUGACAGAGCAACGUACUGAAAGUUGUUUGGACGUAAACAUUUACGGUACACAGGCAUGCGCGUGGUAGGAGGAUGAGAAAAAAAAAGGAAAAGGAUUUUUUUUCUAGAAAAA